UACGGGGGGGCAAGCGUUGUUCGGAAUUACUGGGCGUAAAGGCUCGUAGGUGGCCAACUAAGUCAGACGUGAAAUCCCUCAGCUUAACUGGGGAACUGCGUCUGAUACUGGAUGGCUUGAGUUUGGGAGAGGGAUGCGGAAUUCCAGGUGUAGCGGUGAAAUGCGUAGAUAUCUGGAGGAACACCGGUGGCGAAGGCGGCAUCCUGGACCAAUACUGACACUGAAAAGCGAAAGCCAGGGGAGCAAACGGGAUUAGAAACCCUGUG
rnacentral:rRNA from 1 species